rfam:Kordia algicida OT-1 1103813601120 genomic scaffold, whole genome shotgun sequence.
AAGGUCGAAUCCGAAAAACCUUUUAGCUAAAAAUAGAGUAGGAA